AUGAGGUGUGGCUGAUACAGAAAAUAUGAUCCGAAUAUAUGAAACGAACGGACAAGAUGAUUUCUCCACAAAAUAAGCUCCUGCUACUCUUCACCUUGUAAUCCCAUUUUCUGGGCGAAACUCUUUCUUCCACCAUCAUUCCCAUUUUCCACACCCUAAUUUCAAUACUCUUUUCUCUUCAAGGUGUAUCUCAGAAGCUUGAUGCUCUCGGUGUUGAUUUUGAAUUCAAGGUAAUUUUAUGGGGAAUGUACUCGGUCCGAACAGUACCAAGGCUAGAGGAAGUGUUUCAACGAGCGAGGUUUUGCCGGGUGAAGCUUGCAAGCGACAGAGAUUGUUGUCGACUUCUGAUGAGGAUAACUCUAGACUGAUUCCUUCUCUUCCUGAUGAGAUAUCGGUUCAGAUUCUGGCUAGGGUACCUCGCGUUUGUUACUUGAAUCUAAAGUCGGUUUCUCGCACUUGGAAGAUGGCGCUUGGGAGUUCGGAUCUGUUUUGUUUGAGAAAAGAACUUGGAACAACGGAGGAGUGGUUGUAUGUAUUAACAAAAGGUAAUGAUGAUACGCUUUUAUGGUAUGCCUUAGACCCAAUUUCGGGAAGAUGGCAAAGGUUACCUCCAAUGCCGAAUGUAUUCGUUGAAGAUGAAGCCAAAAAUGGUUUGGCGGCGCUUCCCCGUCGGAUGUGGAGCUUGUUGGGUUCGAGUAUUAGAAUUGCUGAUGUUUUCAUGAACUGGCUUAGAAGGAGAGAUGCGUUGGAUCGGAUGCCGUUCUGUGGUUGCUCUAUUGGGGCUGUUGGUGGUUGCAUUUAUGCUUUGGGAGGAUUUUCGAAAGCUUCGGCUAUGAACUCUGUUUGGAGAUAUGAUCCUGUUAAGAAUGCUUGGACUGAGAUGAGUCCAAUGUCGGUUGGCAGAGCCUACAGCAAGACGGGUAUAUUGAACGAUAAGCUUUAUGUUGUUGGAGGGGUUACUAGGGGUCGUGGUGGAUUGAAUCCUCUUCAAUCUGCAGAAGUUUAUGAUCCGAACACUGGUAUGUGGUCCCAAUUACCAAACAUGCCUUUUUCAAAAGCUCAGGUGCUACCGACAGCUUUUCUGGCUGAGUUGCUCAAGCCUAUUGCCACGGGAAUGACUUCAUACAGGGGAAGGUUGUUUGUUCCUCAGAGUUUGUAUUGUUGGCCAUUUUUUGUUGAUGUUGGGGGAGAAGUUUAUGAUCCGGAUAUAAAUUCUUGGCUUGAAAUGCCGGUUGGGAUGGGUGACGGUUGGCCUGCAAGGCAAGCCGGAACGAAAUUGAGUGUUAUUGUCAAUAAUGAUUUAUAUGCAUUAGAUCCUUCAAGUUCUCUCAACUCUGCAAAGAUAAAGGUAUAUGAUGAGGAAGGUGAUACUUGGAAAGUUGUUGCGGGAGAUGUUCCUAUUCAUGAUUUUGCUGAUUCAGAAUCUCCUUAUCUUUUAGCUAGUUUACUUGGAAAACUCCAUGUGAUUACGAAAGAUGCCAAUCACAACAUUGCAGUCUUGCAAGCUGGCAUGCAAAAUCAUUUAGCUUCCUCUCAGUCGAUGGCGUCGUCAUCUGAUAGCUCAUUCGGCCAACUUGCUGAAUCAUCAGCAGAAUCAGAGACAGAACUUUGGAGGGUUUUUGCUUCUAGGAGUGAUAGAUCUGCUGAGCUAGUUAGCUGUCAAUCCCUUAAAGUUUAAUUUUUCAGAGCUAAAAUUCUCGUGGUUCUGAGAUCAUUAUGCCUGUAGUAGCUGUUAUCAUUGCGGACAACCCACAAUGUUAACAACAAUUUCAAAUUAGAAGGUAAAGUUGUUGACUGAAACAAGCCUACUCUACACUCUCACAACCCAUUGGCAUGUCUGAUUAUUGAAUAUUGAAAAUACCGGGAAGGAUGGAUCCUGUACAGCUAUCUUCAAAUUGGGACCCAUUAGCAGCUGCAUGUGUUGAGACAAAUCAAUAUCACAUGUGACAAGGAAGAAGAAGAAGAAGACUACAAUCAGACAAAUAUGAUUAUGAAAUAGUAUUUGUUGAAUACCUGAAGACGAGAAAUGUCACAUUGCGCACCGUCCGAAACAAAAACUUCAGAAGGUCCAUAUCCUUUAUAGCCCUCUGCUGUUGAAAGGCCGCGAACAAACUGCAGAACAUCGUAUGAAAAGGAAAAAUGUUCUGUUAUUCUAGUAAGUUACUUUUAUCCGUUUCUGGUAGAGGAUAGUUUCUAAACAAGCAUGAUAGAAUUUUCUGUCUAUGAAGCAUGAUAGUUUAUGUGUAUUUUCAACAGAAAGAAUCUUCAUAACUUACAUCAACCAUGCUUGAUGUUACAAGUGUUGGUAAAGGUUCUGUAGUGUCACCAAUUCCAAGGUCUAUCAGAUUUGCAUUUGGAUACUUCUUUAAGUGAAGAAGCUCAUGUCUUUCAAUCUGAUGCAAAAUCAUAUAAAAGAUAUAUCAUAAAAUUCUAACAUGUGUCAUUUGACAAAGUGAAAUGUCCAUGACAGUAAAAAAUCUUGCCCAUGACAGUGAAUAUUUUAUUGCUUCUCAAAAUAUUAAGUUUUUCAUGAUAACAAUGUUCAACUGAGACAGAAAAAUUAUAUUUGAACAGAAUGUUAUUGAAGAGUACCUCAGGAAAUAAAUAACCAUGUUGCAGUUUCUCCAUGUUUACAUUCCUAGGUACCUUUGUGCAGUGUCCUGAACAUUACAGACAGUCAUAAUGAUAAGUGAGGACUAAGAAAAAUGAAGAAAAUAAAUCCAUACAAAAAUUGUGCAUACUGCAUACCAAUUCUGACACUUUGAUUCUUCAAUGUGCAUGAAAACCUGUAAUUAUCAUUAGCACACACAAGUCAUAAACAAAAGAUGAUAUAUUUUGAUUGUGUUAAGCUAACAUUUUCAAAAUUUGUUUUUACCUGUUCACUAACAUCCUAGGCUGCAAAGAAUUUGGACUAAACAUUGAACUCAAAUUUGAUGUCUUGUACAUUUUAUGUUCUCAAAAACCAGAGGCUUUUUUUUU